rnacentral:misc_RNA from 1 species
UGAAAAGUAAAUAGACGCAACGGAAUUACAAAUUCAAAAAAAAAGACAAAUGUGCCAGAGUGCCUGAAAGUGCAAUUAGGCGGCGAAAGCAAGCAAAUAAUUAAGCAAAAUGAUUGUGAAAAUGGAGCCAGACGAACUGAUCACGUUCCGUGUACAGUAUCUGGUGGAUAGCGAUCCAUUAUCCGCCUGCACCGCCUUCCCGAUUCCGGUCCGGGCCCCCACCUAUGCCUUCACCACCACCAUGCCCCUGGCCAACCAGCUGGGCACCAUCCUCCGGCUGCUGAACGCUCCGCAAAGUAUCGAUGAUGCGGCCAUUCAGGUCUACAAGGAUGGCGACUACGGGGCCUAUUUGGAUCUGGAGUCGUCGCUGGCGGAGCAGACCGAGGAGAUCGAGGGCCUCAACGCCAGCCGCAAGAACUCCCUGGUGGUGCGAACGCAGCUCAAUGUCCGCGUGCAGGCGAUUAUUGAGAAACUCCUAUCGUCGGAGGGCAGCGACCUUCGGCGGGCCCUCUUCUCGCUGAAGCAGGUGUUCCAGGAGGAUAAGGAUCUGGUGCACGCCUUCGUGGCCCUCGGCGGACUCAAUUGCCUGGUGCGCGUGGGCAAUUGUGCGGAUCAAAACUAUCAGAACUACAUUCUGCGCGCCCUCGGCCAGGUCAUGCUCUAUGUGGACGGGAUGAACGGCGUGAUGAAGCAUGAGCCGACGAUGCAGUGGCUCUACUCGCUGAUUGCCUCCAAUUACCGGUCCGUGGUGAAGACCGCCCUCAAGCUGUUGCUGGUCUUUGUGGAGUACGCCGAGUCCAACUGCUAUGUGCUGGUCAGGGCCAUCCACUCGGUGGAUGCCACCCAGGGCACCCUGCCCUGGUCGAACAUAAUGAGACUGUUGAAGGACUAUGAUAAUGCCGAUGCCGAGCUGGUGAUCUAUGCCACGUCCUUGAUCAACAAGGCUCUGGCGGGCUUGAACGACCAGGAUAGCUUCUAUGAUGAGAGUGAUCUGCUGGAGCAGCAGGGCAUGGAGACUGUGAUCCAGCGCUACAUGUCCAAGCCAGGCACCGAUUUGGAUCUACUGGACCAGCUGCAGCUCUACGAGGCGGUUUUAAAAUUCGAGGAUGGGGAAUCGGAUGGUCAGCGCCUGCCACAGAACUCGAUGCGCAAGACCCAACGCUAUCGUCCUGGCAGCAACACCACGGAGCGACGCAAGUCACGUCGCCACAGCACGGACAACAGCCCGGCCCCACUCACCAAGGUCCUGCCCACCACAGUGCUGAGGAUGACUCCCACCCAGGGCAUACUGGAUGAGGACAGCUCUGGCUCCACGAACUCCACGGAGUUCAGUGGCGGCUUGUUCAGUGAAAAGAAACCUCGCGAUGGGGCAGGCGUGACCCCAGGACUCCGCCGACGCCGGGAGAGAGCUGAGCGGCACAAGAGCUUCCUGAAGGAGCAACAGGAGGCGGCGGCCAAUGGCAUCUUUGCCGCCUUAGAGCAGCGUGAGGGUUUGGGCCAAAUCGUAACCGCCAUACCCGCUACCAUCCAGGCCGGCGACAGCCCGCCGCCAUCGCUGCCACACGAGCCUGUGCCGCCUUACAACAACAUGAGCAACAUUAACAACAACCUGAGCAACAUCAGCAGCAACGAAACGCCCAACAACAGCCUGCUCCUGAUGAGUCCUAGCAAGCAGCUGCUGAGCGGUAGCCACAGCAUCUCCAUUAUUAACAACAGCUUCGACAAGUCCAGCAACAACAACCUGAACAACCAGAGCGAGUUCCUCACCAAGAAAAAUCUGUUCCGGGAGCGCAACGCCACGGUGAUCAGCGGCAUCAUGAAGAACAUCCAGCAGACGGACAGUGCCUACAAGAAGUACGAGAACGAGGCCAACCGCAAGAACAACUUCUACACCCAAAUGAGUCAGUCGCCAAAGCACCAGCCACAGCAACAGAUCCACCCCGAUCCGGAUGUCCUGCUGAGUCCAAAGAAGAUCCUUGAGUCCGGAUUUGACUUUACGCCCGUGCCUCUGUGCUCCACACCAGUGAAGUGUGAUGUGCCCCCAGAGCCGGAGCCAAUCAGUCCGGUGCGAAAGCCCACUGGAGCUGCCCCGCCACCACCGCCCCCUCCGCCUCCGCCGCCACCACCGCCACCCGGCUGGUGGCAUGCCCCCAUUAGCAGCCGACCGCCACCAGCAAACCUAACCACUACUAACCCAGAGCUGCUGCCGCUACCCGUGGAUCCCGCAGAUGUAGAGAGCGAGGACAAGCAGCUGCUGAUGCAACUGAAAAGGGACCACACUGUCAAGGACCUCACCCAAAGGCUGACCAACCUGCCCAUGAGUCCCACCCAGGAGCAUCCCGCCAAUCGCGCCAUUGUGGGGGAUAUGUCCGGACUCAUUUCGAAAGCCAAAGAGGGUCUGGCCAAGAGCAAGAGCAAGGGAGAGAUUUCCAGAUCGUCUAGCGUCGAUCAGGAGCUGAAGAAAUCAGAGCCGAAAAAGUCAGAGAAUGAGCUUCACUGGGAGGAGCUGGUGAGGAAUAUGACUCGGCCCCUGAAUCUCUGCGAUCUGGACUUUACGGACCUGCAGGACGAUGAUGAGAAGGACGUGCUGGCUCCUCGGGGUCUGGGUGCUGGUAUACCCCCACCGCCACCACCACUGGGCGGUGUCAUAGCCCCACCGCCCAUGAUGCCACCCAGUCUGGCACCACCGCCCAUGUUCAGUUACGGCGGCAGUCUCACAAACAGCGUGAAUAGCUCCUUGAACGGAUCUGUGAACGGAGAGCUAAUGAAUGGAAAUAAUACCAUCAAGAAGAACAAAAAGACGGUCAAGCUAUUUUGGAAGGAAGUCCGCGAAGACAUGAUCCCCCAGGUGGUGGGCAAAACCAUUUGGGAUGAGCUGCCGGACGCCAAUGUGGAUACUCAGAAGCUCGAACAUCUCUUUGAGUCCCGGGCAAAAGACUUGAUGACCAAGAAACAACAAGAGCUGAACAAGAGCAAAGAGAUCAUCGUGCUCGACCACAAGCGCUCCAAUGCCAUCAACAUCGCCAUCACCAAGCUGCCGCCGCCCAGGGCCAUCAAGGCGGCCAUUCUGAAGAUGGAUGCCACCGUGGUGACCAGGGAGGGCAUCGACAAGCUCCUCAACAUGCUGCCCACGGACGAGGAGCGGGGCAAGAUCCAGGAGGCGCAGCUUUCGAAUCCGGAACUGCCUCUGGGAAGCGCCGAGCAGUUCCUCUUGACUUUGGCCUCCAUUUCAGAGCUGGGAGCUCGCCUCAAGCUCUGGGCCUUCCGCCUGGACUUUGACAACAGUGAGAGAGAGAUUGCCGAACCCCUGAUGGACCUCAAGCAAGGCAUUGAGAUCCUGCGUCAGAAUCGCACCUUCCGCUGCAUCCUUUCCACCCUGCUCUCCGUGGGCAUUUUCCUCAAUGGAGCUCCAGUCAAGGGCUUCCAAAUCGAGUAUCUGGCCAAGGUGCCGGAGGUCAAGGACACCGUCCACAAGCACUCGCUGCUGCACCAUCUCUGCCACAUGGUCAUGGAGUCGAGCAGCGACACCAGUGAUCUCUACUCCGAAAUCGGACCCAUUACCAGGGCCUCCAAGGCGGACUUUACGGACCUGGCCCACAAUCUCAACCAACUCGAGGCGGAAUGCAAGGCCUCCUGGGAUCGGCUGAAGCUGAUUGCCAAACACGACUGCCCGCCGCCAUUGAAGCAGAAGCUUGUGGACUUCUUGGCCGAUUGUGCGGAGCGCAUAAUCAUCCUGCAGAUUGUCCACCGGCGUGUUAUGAACCGCUAUAGGAAGUUCCUACUGUGGCUGGGCAUGCCGCAACACAGUGUGGCAGAGUCCCGUCCCAACGAGUUCUGCCGCACUCUCUCCGAGUUCGCCUUGGAGUACAGAACUACCAGGGAAAGAGUGCAGCAGCAGCUGGAGAAGAAGGCCAAUCAUCGUGAGAGAAACAAGACGCGGGGAAAGCUGAUCAUAGACAUGGCCAAGUUCAAGACCAAAGAGGAUGUGGCUGAUGCGGAGUUGAAACAACUUCUGGGCACUCCUAGUGCCGAUCAGGCCGAUGGCACUCUCACCUGGCGGCGGCGUCGUGCCGAGCAGCUCCGUUCCCCCAUUUCCCGCCAAAGCGAAGAGUUCACCGACGGCGACGACGAGAUACUGGAAUCUCUGGUGAAGACUGCCACCAAGGCGCCGGGAACAAGGACCACGCCCAGAGAGCGUAAAAGGACACGACACGCAGACCGCAAAUCAUUGAAGCGCAGCCGUACGCGCGAAGGAUUCACAGUCGAAAGAGCACCAUCGCCGUAGAAAGUGUUACCGAUAACACCGAACCGUUAACGUUAUCCUUUACCGUUACCAAAAGAACAGCCAACUGUUUUUUAGGUUUUACCUUUUUGUGCGUCGCACGCUGAAGAACGGUCUGACCGACGAGGAGAAACAGCAUGUGGCUGCCUUGAUACAAACCUAUUAGGCUAAGGACUAGCAGAUAC